rnacentral:rRNA from 1 species
GACGAACGCUGGCGGCGCGCCUAAUGCAUGCAAGUCGAACGAGGUCGACCCUUCGGGGUCAUAUACCUAGUGGCAGACGGCUGAGUAACGCGUGAGUGACCUGCCCUGGAGAGGGGGGAUAACACAGGGAAACCUGUGCUAAUACCGCGUACGCUCACCAUCGUAAAGGUUGGUGAGGAAACGAAUUUCGCUCUAGGAGGGGCUCGCGUCCUAUCAGGUAGUUGGUGGGGUAAUGGCCUACCAAGCCAAAGACGGGUACCUGGUGUGAGAGCACGACCAGGCAGAGGGGGACUGAGACACGGCCCCCACUCCUACGGGAGGCAGCAGCAGGGAAUCUUCCACAAUGGGCGAAAGCCUGAUGGAGCGACGCCGCGUGGGGGA